AGCGAACGCAGAGGGGGUGCGGGGCCUGCGAGCUUACUCGAUUUGCAGGGAGUCCCGAUGGAGAGGGGGUGCGAUGAGCGGAGGCGGCUGUAGCGGCGAGAUGCGGGCGAGGAUGAGCGGCGUGGUUGGUCGGGGGCGGCGCGGUAGUGAUCGCACAAGCUGCGCGAGGGGACUGUGAGGGAUCGUCGUGGAGAGGUGGUGCGGAGUCUGAGUCGCGGCGGAGCGGGGUUGCGAUGAAUGGAGGCGGCGGCAAAGAAAGCUCCAUCGAUGGCCCUCCAUGAUGGGGAAAGAAGUGAGAAAUUUUGAUAUUUAGGACUGACUUCGCAGGCCUCAUGACUUUAGGGGUCAAGUUCGUAGAUCUUUUAAAAUGAGGGACUCUGGCUGCAAAGUGUUUGAAAACAUGAGAUUAUCACCUUUUCUUGAGUUUCUUUGAUUUUUUUAAUCUUUUCUCUCUCCCAGGCACAUGAAUGGAUGAUUUUGCCCUUCUGGAUGUCCUCAUCCCGUGAGACCGGAUCGGAUAGAACUCAUGCGCUCCUUUCUUUCAUUCGCUCUCCACUCCUCGUCACCAGGUCGCCCCGCCGCCACCGUUCACCGCCACCAGGUCGCCCCGCCGUCCCCUCCCUCCAUCACGGCCGCUUUCCUCUCCCCGCCGCCCACCUCAACCCCCACCUCCGGCCGCGACCCUCUCGCCGUUGCAGUUGCACAUGGGCAUGGAGGGGGCGGCUUGAGGGAGACGGCGCCCGUCGCUGCGCGUGCCGCCCAGGGCGGGCGCUGCUGCGCACUGGCCGGCGGGGCGGCGGGGGGCCGGCCGACUCCAUCGUCCCACAAGGAGCAGCCAUGAUUCCCUUUGAGAAAUCUGCUAUGUAAGUUAAACCCUAACCUCCUUCAGUAAUGGGGAGAUGAAUGUGUGUGUUGCAUAUGCGGACUGAUGCAUAUGCUUGUCAUUUUUCCAUUCCUCGUUAGGGUGGAUCUGGAUGGGGGAUUUCGUUUAUGCGUUAGUGUAGCUGGGUUUACAGCGAGGCUCGAUGAUGGAAACUCUAUUGAUGUUGCACGCAAUAUUUGGAUGACUACUAUUCUGUGAGAAGGUUUAGAUAAGCAUAUGCAGUAGUCAUCGCACCAUUUCGGGACAAGUCACAGUGGCGACAUGUGGAACUUGGCUUCAGGCUCUUGCCACCUCUGUCCAAAAGAGAAGUUGGAAGACAGAGGAAGAAUAGGAUUCCAAGUGCCAUGGAGGGUAAGGGCACCAAGAAGACAAGGACCAAAGGCUUGUACCAGGUGCAAUGUAAGGGUUGCCUAGGACUUGGCCACAGAUCAACCUCACCAAAAUGCCCUCUGAAUGGAACUAAGAUGAGGAAGAGUCGUGCAAAGAAAGGAGUUGCAGGGAGGCCCCCGGCAAGAGGCAGAAAGCUGCUACAGAUGAUGUUGCUAAAGGACACGCUGAUGCAUAGGCUUCGGCUAUAAGCAGCAGCCCCAGACCGGUGACAAGGAGGCCAUAUGAUUAUUUUUCUUCAAGUAGUGUGUAUGUGUACGACCACAAGAUCAUCAUGAGGACAUGAACUUUGUUGUUCAAAGGGCAGACAAGAUGGAGUCAGUGACCCACAUAAGAGACCAAGCACAAUAUAUGGAAUGCAGACGAUCAACACAAAUAGAGGGAAUUUGAAAACAUAACAGGUGGUAUUUUUUAAUAUUCCAAAAAAAUAUGAUUUAAGAUUUACAUCUUGGAAUCUUAGGUUCUGGCCAAUUCAUCAAUAAGCUCUAGGCUUAAAGUCCUAGCUCCAGGUUAGAUGGAAUGGAAGCCUAACUAUACACUGCAGGUUAAAGGAGGCAAAAAGAAAUUUUGUCCAUCCUUUCUUUAUGGAGAUUUUCAUGAUAGGUGCCUGGUGCAUCUGGUAUGAAAGAAAUGCUCUGAUCUUCGACAAUUUAGCUCCUGAAAUUACCAGAUGGAAGACUACUUUCAGAAGAGAAGUCUUGAAUCACUUUCCUAGAAUAAGUCCUAGCUUGCACUCCUCCAUUCAGCUCUAGUUGAGCUUGCUGUAAUUUUUUUAUACUUUUUCUGUGAACUGUGCUCCCCCUUCCUCACCAACCUCUGGUUGGUACCCUGUAAGACUUUGUCUCCUGUUUUAAUUUUAUUUUGUUGCUGGGGGGCUUUGCCCCACAGUUUCGGUUAAAAAAGAAUAAGCUCUAGGCUAACAUAUGCCUGCCUAUAUCA